CCUUCUCAUGCUGACACGCGUCCCCAGCAGACCAAAAUUAUCCCUAUAUUUCACUCUUUGAGCCGACCACAGACCUUCCGCUCUUUUGGCCCGACUGCCAAUCUACAAUAGUAUGGGUCCGACCGCCAAUCCUCCCGACUUGCGAACCAUCUGGCCUGAGGUCUUUCCGCCUUGAGGACUUCCCGACCUGAAAACCUUCCGACUUGAGGUCUUUCCGUCUUGAGGACUUCCCGACCUGAAAACCUUCCGACUUGAGGUCUUUCCGUCUUGAGGACCUCCCGACCUGAAAACCUUCCGACUUGAGGUCCUUCCGUCUUGAGGACCUAC